ACAGUUCGGUCCCUAUCUGCCGUGGGCGUUGGAUGAUUGAUUGGGGCUGCUCCUAGUACGAGAGGACCGGAGUGGACGCAUCACUGGUGUUCCGGUUGUGUCGCCAGACGCAUUGCCGGGUAGCUAAGUGCGGAAGAGAUAAGUGCUGAAAGCAUCUAAGCACGAAACUUGCCAAGAGAUGAGUCAUCCCUGACUUUAAGUCAGUAAGGGUUGUUGUAGACUACGACGUAGAUAGGUCUGGUGUGUAAGUGUAGUGAUACAUUGAGCUAACAGAUACUAAUUGCCCGAGAGGCUUAACUAUACAACGCUCAAG
rnacentral:rRNA from 1 species